rnacentral:lncRNA from 1 species
CCUUACUGUAGGGGACUGAAGACAAACCUGCAAUAUCUCUGAGAAAUCCUUGAAUGAAGCACAAAAGGGAUUGGUCCUUGCCUGGUGUGAAGCACAGCUGAGCCAAAGGAGGAAGCAAUAUUGCAAUGGACUCUGUCUUUGACAUCACUACUUUGCAAAUUUGUUACCACUAUGGUCAAAUUUUUAUAUUCACUCUUACAUUUUAACUCAUUCUGCUCAUUAUAUUCAAUGCAACAUCUGCACUAAAAGAUACUCAGGCAUUAAUUUAUGCUUUUCUGUUUACAAAUGAGAAUUCAUAAGCAAAUUGAGGUAGCAAUUAGAUAUUUUUUAAAAUCGAAGACAAAACAGAAGACACAUACACACACAUCAGUGGAACACAACAGAGAGCCCAGAAACAGACUGAAAUACAGCCGACUAAUCUCUGACAAAGGAGCAAAAGCAAUUCAAUGGAGAAAGGAGAGUCUUUUUAACAAAUGGUGCCGGAACAAGUGGGCAUCCAUAUGCAAAAAAGAAAAAAAAAAAGAAUCUAAAAACAGACCUUAUACUUCUUACAAAAAUUAAUGCAAAGUAGAUAUUAGACCAAUAUAUAAAAUGUAAAAUUUUCAAACUUCUAGAAGAUAACAUAAGGAAAAAAUCUAGUUAACUUUGGAUUUGGUGACUUUUUAAAGAUACAACACCAAAAGCAUGAUCCACGAAGACAAAAAUUGGUAAGCUGAAUUUCAUUAACAUGAAAAACUUUUGUUUUGCAAAAGAUACCAUUAAGAGAAUAAAAAGACAAAUCCCAAACUGUGAGAAAAUAUUUGCAAAAUAUAUCUAAGGAUUCGUAUCUGAAAUAUGCAAAGAACUGUUAAAACUCAACAAGAGGAAAACAAACAACCCAAUUAAAAAUGGGCAAAAGCUGAACAGAUAUGCAGAUGGAAACUAACUAUAUGAAAAGAUGCUCUGUAUGUUAUUAGGAACUGCCAAUUAAGACAACAAUAAGACACCACUACACACCUAUUAGAAUGGCCAAAAUCCACAAGUCUGAAAACACCAAAUGCUGGUGAGGAUGUGAAGCAACAAGAACUCUCAUUCAUUGCUGUGGGAAUGCAAAAUGGCACAGCCACUUUGGAAGACAGUUUGGCAGUUUUUUACAAAGCUCACAUAGUCUUAUUAUAAGAUUUAGCAAUUGUGCUCUUCAUUAUUUACCCAGUGGAGUUGAAGAGUUAUGUCCACACACAAACUUGCACACAAAUGUUUAUAAAAGCUUUAUUCAGGAUUACCAGAAACUGGAGGUGAUCAACAUGUCCUUCAGUAGGUGAAUGGAGAAAUAAAUUCUGAUAUCUACAGACAAUGGAAUAUCAUUCAGUGAGAAAAGACCUAUCAAGUCAUGAAAAGGCAUACCGGGACCCAAAAUGCACAUUACUAACGAAAAAAGCCAAAAAGGCUACAUACUGUAUGAUUCCAAUUAUGUGACAUUUUGGAAAAGGGAAAAUUACACAGAUAGUAAAAUGAUCGGUGGUUGGUAGGGGUUGAGGAGAGGGAAGGAUAGAUGGUCAGAGAGUUCCGGAUGUUUAGGGCAGUGAGACCAUUGUGUGCGAUUUCACCACAACGGUGGACCCACGACAGUGUGCAGAUGCCAAACCCAUUGAAUGCAGACCACAAAAAGAUAAUAAUUACAUAAACUAUGAACUUUCAUAAUGAAAUAAAUCAUGUUUUAAAAAAGUAGACAGCUUUGUUCAGUUACUGUCUACUUUUUGAAAUGGAGAGGGUGGGAUGCUUACAUGGUUGUGAGGAUAAAAAUAGCUUAGAGAAUGUAAUAACUAAAACAGGUGUGUAAACAUUGUUAAACUCUUUUAUCCUCAUUAAAAAACAUUGCUUAAAUAUAUUUGUAAUUUUUUACAACUGAGCGAGUAGUGCAAACACAUUAACAUAAUUCUCCUCUAGCUCCGCUCAGAAGUCAGGCUUCAGUGCAGGACCACAUGGCUCCAAGUGCACCUGCCAAAUGCAACAACCUCUUUCAACGUCAUUAAAAUAUUUCAAUAGGAGGCUUGAUUUUAGACUCAACCUGUGUUUUCUCCCCUGGAAAAUGAAGGUUUUAUGAAACAAAGAAGGUCUUUACCAUUCUCAUCCAAAAUGCUGAGACAUCUGUGAUGUCUGCUGUAAGUGCCACCAGGCUCUCCUCUGAAAUCUCACAACGGGAAAAUAGAGACUGUCAAUUCUGCUUUUAGAAAGGGGAGAAUCAGAUCUAAUGUCGAAAUGCCAUGUCCUCAUUCAUACACAUCUUCUUUUACAAAUUCCACAGGUUUAGUUACUUUGGGAUUAAUAUGGGCCUAUUUUAAAGUGCAUUUAUUAAUUUAGCAUGAAAUGUCCAAAUGCAUUCUGGAUCCUGAGCUGACAUCCAGCAAUGCUGAGUGUGCGCCUGUGUGAGUCACCAGCCCUGAUGAGCCUCAGGUUAUUGUAUUCAUAAAAUGAAGGGGCUUAGGCUUGCUCCGAUUUUUUUAAAACCAUUUUUAACAGUAAAAACUUGUUUCUUGUUACAUAAAAAUGUACAAGAAAAACCCAAACAUUACAAAUGAUAAAUUAUAAUUUUAUUAAUAUAAAUAUUUUGUGAGCUCAAUUUAUAGGACUUAGUUAUUAUAAAAGAAAUAAGCAACAUGAGGUGGCCAUACUUUCCUAUUUUGUUCACAUGCUAUUGAUAAAUCUUGAUGUACACAGAAAAUUAGUUUCAAAGAAUAAUAAUUUUAAAAAUCUUGACUUGUAAUUUCAAGGGACUUUAAAAAAAUUCCUGCAAUUUCUCUUUAAAGGUUCUAGAACAGUUUUCUAUGUCUUAAAGCUAAAUAAUCACAAAGAACUAACUGUUCUCACAUUCUGUAUUAUAAAUAUGUAAGUCAGAAAAGGAACAGACAAAAGAAUAAAAACACAUGCGUGAACAAAUGGGCCUUGGUUUACAUUGAAUUGGAUCUGGCAAUGAACAUGGGUUAUAGUAGUAUUUUUGUGUGUAAUUUUACACGAGUGGACUGUUGACAAAAUAAAAAUUGUCUGCAAUCACUAUUUGGUGGUAUAUUUGCACAAAUGGUAAACAUAUACAUAGAGGUCGUGGGAGAAAUUUAUUUCAUGGCUUACCAGAAGACAGGUUAAGUUGGGA